UACGUAGGGCGCAAGCGUUGUCCGGAAUUAUUGGGCGUAAAGAGCUCGUAGGCGGUGUGUCGCGCGGAUGUGAAAGCCCGGGGCUUAACCCCGGGUCUGCAUUCGAUACGGGCAGACUGGAGUGUGGUAGGGGAGAUCGGAAUUCCUGGUGUAGCGGUGAAAUGCGCAGAUAUCAGGAGGAACACCGGUGGCGAAGGCGGAUCUCUGGGCCAUUACUGACGCUGAGGAGCGAAAGCGUGGGGAGCGAACAGG
rnacentral:rRNA from 1 species